rnacentral:lncRNA from 1 species
GCCCGUGCUGAGGCCGCCGGUUACCGGAGGCUGCUGCGAGCCCGAGCCGCCGAGGUGGAGGCGUUGCGGGGGGCGGUGGGCGCGUUGCACCGGCAGCUGGAGGGGCUGCGGGACCGGCGGAGCGGGGAGCUGGCCAAGUACCAGGAGCGGGUGGCGGAGCUGGAGCGGGAGAUCGGGGCGGCGGAGGCGGAGAUGGCCCGGUGCCUGCGGGAGUACCCGGCACUGCUGCGGCUGCGGAUGGCGCUGGAGGCGGAGAUCGCCGCGUACCGGGAGAUGCUGGAGAGCGAGGAGCUCCGCCUGGGCGGCUUGGUCCCGCCGUGACCGGAGCCCUGGAGCCCCGGUGCCACCACCGGACCCCGGCCCUGCCGUUACCACUGGACCCACGGUCCCGGGACCGGAUUCUCAGCCCCACCACCGGACCCCGGUUCCUCCGCCGGACCCCAGACCCCCGACUCCUGCGGCCCGGGCCACGAUUCCCUGGGACCCUCUGGACCUCUCUGGACUUACCGAGCCCCGGUCCUUCUGCCCCCACGUUCCACGGGUUCCCCGGACUUCUGCGUGCACGCCGGCCCCGGGACCCCGGGAGGGCAGCGCCCGGGGGGACACACACUCACCAGCCUCUCCGGGGUGGGGGUCCCGGCCCAGACCCGUGUGGAAGCACCUCAAUAAACCCCCGUGGCA